rnacentral:rRNA from 1 species
UACGUAGGGUGCGAGCGUUAAUCGGAAUUACUGGGCGUAAAGCGUGCGUAGGCGGUUCGCUGUGUCCGAUGUGAAAGCCCCGGGCUUAACCUGGGAAUGGCAUUGGAAACUGGCGGGCUUGAGUGCGGCAGAGGGGGGUGGAAUUCCGCGUGUAGCAGUGAAAUGCGUAGAGAUGCGGAGGAACACCGAUGGCGAAGGCAGCUCGCUGGGACGGUACUGACGCUGAGACGCGAAAGCGUGGGGAGCAAACAGG